AUGCCAAUAGAUGCCCGUAUAAUUCUGGGUAUCCCUCUUUGCACGAGGAAUAUGUCUGAUUUCUGGAGCUGGCAUCAUGAGAAGAAUGGCUUGUUCUCUGUUAGGUCGGCAUACAGGAUGCUUGUUGCAACGAGAUCGAGAAGGGAGGCUUGGCUACAGAGCAGAGCGGGCUCUUCCAGCGCUUCUAGGGAUGAGCGAGCUUGGAAAAUGCUUUGGAAAACACAAGUACCAGGGAAGGUGAGGAAUUUCCUAUGGCGACCGUCAAAACACUCAAUCCCAACGAAUGAUGUCAGAGCCCAUAGACAUAUGACAGACUCUAGCGCUUGCGGCUUGUGCGGAGCCCUAGACUCAUGGAGACACUCUCUGCUCGAGUGCACCAUGUCUCGAUGCACUUGGACCCUGGUGGACAGUGAACUAGCACAAACAAGGGCAACAGUGACUGAACCGAGCGCCAAGCAAUGGCUAUUCACUCUGAUAGAUCGCCUUUCUCAUGAUGACUUUGUGAAACUAUCGGUGACACUCUGGGCUCUUUGGGCAGCGAGGCACAAAGCGAUACACGAAGGGAUUUUCCAAAGUCCGCACACGAUUAUUGCUUUCGUCAACAGUUACAUCGACGGCUCGAUGUCAUCAACACAAAACAAGAGCAGGUGCCUCGCUCUGGUCGUGUGGCACACAUACCAACUGGUAGACCAAGAGCACCCCCACGGGCUUUGCAAAAAUCAAUGUAGACGCGGGGACGAGACGUGA
rnacentral:rRNA from 1 species